ensembl:lncRNA
UUUUUCUUUUUUUUUUUUUUUUUUCUGUAGUGGUAGUGAUGGUGAUGAGGCUUUUUAACAGAUCUGCAAAUUGGUAGAAGGCCCAUUGUUAAAUAAAUUAAUAAAAAUAUUCUAGGAAUGGCUUACACAAGUUAAAAUCCACAAGCUAAAAUACAACAUUCAUUACAGUGGUUUGACUGAAAAUAUUACCUAGGUAACAGAGGCCUCAAGAGACAGAAGACUGAAUAAAGAAAUUUUCAAGAAUUUCAGGUACAGAGUUAAGAAAAUAAAAGAAGCGUGCAGAUGCCAACAAAGGAGAGAAGACAAUGGGAAAAUAUUAGAUAUUAAGAUUUUCAAAGAAGAAUUUUAGGGUCCUCAACAUUUUAGCAUUUAUAAAUAUUAAUAGUUUCAGCAAUGCCGAGCAUUUUUGCCAAAAUGGUGCACAUCUUUUUAUAUAUCCUUGCAAAGAUAUAUUCAUAGGCAAGAACAUCUAAUUAAGCACAAAACUGAAAAAGCAUAUUUCCCCUUAAAAGUUUUGUGAUAAACACGCAGCAAUCAUGUGGUGCAUGGAGGACAUAGGAUCUGGCUGGAGGGAGAGAAACAUUAAUGUAUUCUUCUGGUUUCUUCAUGGGCACUAAAUUCUGAGGAGGGAUAUUGUGCAAGAUACAAAAGACUAAAAAAGACCUAUUUCAGGAGGAGAAUGGGAAACUUGAGACAGCUGAAGAUGUACUCUAUUUAAAAUUAGCUACCCGGUGUGCACCUGAGUAAAAUGAACUGCAUGAAGGAAUCCAUACCACUUGAAAUUACCCAGUACAAAGAAGCAGCCACUAGCCCUGUGAUUUUCUCCCUUGAGGUGCAUGAUCUCAGGAGGAUCUGAAUACUGCAGCAGGAUGGGGAAAAGAAGCCAUGAGAGCAUUAUAGAGAUCAGAAACAAAAUCACUGCUCUGUGUCUGGACUGACACGGCAGUGGACACAUUUGCACAUCUUAAAAAAUCUUAGAACAGCCACAGGAGAGGGAGAGACUGCCUUAUGUUGAGGUCUGUAUGAAGGAAUCAGGUUUUCAUUCCCACAGUUUCUGGGAAGCAUUAAUACUUGUAUUAGUGCUCACUUUAUUAUAAGAAAAUAGAGAAAUUAUAUCAAGAUGCAGCAGUAGCAUUCUGACAAUGCUGAGUUCAAGCAGCAUGGUCAUAAUUUUGUUUGAGGCUUGGAAGAAUAUAAAAAGGAUGCAACACUCAAGCUAAAUAAGCCUGCCUAGGGAGAGUGGUACUGAUAUUUCUGCAUUCUGCAUAGACAUGCCUGGGCAAGGAUUAUAAUUUGUGCCACAAGACAGAUAGAAGAAAUCCUGCUGCUUACCAGGCAACACCCAGACUAAAACAGGCAUGAUAAAAUCUACAUGACAUCACCCAGCACCCUUCACUUUCAUUAGGCAAACUCUCUCCCAGGAGAAGAAUAAAUUGGGCCGUACUGCUCACAAAACUUAAAUAAACAGCAUGUUUCCUUAUGACAAAUACAUAUUUUAUGUCAGAGGUCAGAAUUCAUUCUUCACUGCCUUUUAAUGAUCACAAUGUUACAUGUAAUUCCAAAAUGAAAGUACUAUUUCAGUUGCGUUAUUAAUUAAUGAGGUAGUUAUUUUCCAGCAGCCCUAUGGAUUUGAAAGCAGUGCAGCUACAUACUACAGGGAAUUGUUGAAAUGCCUGAACAGAGUAGAAGAAAGCAUAGCUAUUACAGUAUGGGAACAUGUUUCUGACACCAUGCUUUUGCUUUCUUCCUCCUUCACUUACAAGAGAAAGUUUAUUAUAAGAUCAUGUAAUUGCAAAUACCCUAAGCUGAAAAAACCUACAUAGGAUCUCCUUUUGCUCUUAGCUAUUUAGUAAUGGUAAAUAGUAAGGUAUUAAUAUCUUCACUAAUCCAUUUUGUCUCUGGAGCUAACCUUCUAAAUAAAAAACAGGAAAGACCUGUAGGGAAAUUUCUCCUUCUGUUGUGCCUGGUCAUACACAAGGUCUCUCAAAAAUGUAAAGCUGUGCCUGGAAUCAUAAGCAUUCUGUCUAGCAUCCCACUGACUCCUACCUCCAGAAUUUCUCAUGGCAGCUGGAACACAUGUCCUGUGAGACACGGACUUAAGUCAGGAAAGCCUGUGCUUGGUGUGUGUAUCAGCAAGAGCUGAAAUCUCUGCUAGCAGUGUUAUUAUGCUCAUGGUAAAUUUUGCCAGCAAGAACUCGCAGGCAAGAGUGCAGCCUUUAUCUUUGCACCUGGAUAGCUACAAAGACGCUUUCUGAGACACCAGGGUUGUUUCUCUAUUCAUGCUCUACAAGUUCUCCAAGCUACUUCUGCUUUGAUUCAUGCCAGUGAUUCAAAAAGUUAAUCAGACAAUAAUAAAAAUAAAUUAUAAAAUGCUUAUCUUAUUGCUUGCAUUUUAGGGUGCCACAUAAACUUGUGAAGACAGAUACUUGUUCUACUUGGUUAUCUUGUGCUCCAUGUUCUAAUUAACUUUUUACAAAAGAGCAAAUUAAUUGAAUAUGUUUGCUGCACAUUGCAAAACAACAUGCUGGUGGAAUCAAGAAAAAUUGUUGUUAGUAUGAAUCUUAAACUUCUUGUUUUUAUGGAACUCAUACUUGACACUCCCCAAAUAAGUGUAUUCACUCUCUCUGAAUGGAGGUUCAGUGGGCUCCUUGUGAGAUGGUGAUAGUUACAGAUAUAGGUUCCCCAAGAAGACAAAAAAUGGCAAGUAUUAAGUUUUUCCACACUUAGAUAAAGAAAUGUGACUUGGUAAUGUGUUUUUGGUUUGGGUUUCCAGUACAAAUAUUAUACUAUUACCCUGGAUUCAGACUUUAAAAAAAAAAAAAAAAA